CUGGUGGCCUCUUAAACUUAUUAUAACAACUCAUAUUUGGAAAAUGGAACUAACCUGACAGCAUCGUUCCUUCAGGUCGCAUGGAAAUAAAAAUUUAAUCAGCAUUUGAAGGGCAACACAGUGAUUCCUCUGUGGAAAAAGGAUGACAUCAUUUGCUGCCAAGCAAGAAAAAAAUGGGAUGCAGUUCAGAGAGCCCAAGUGGUGAAAGAGAUUCACAGUUGUGGAAGUUUUUCCUGGGCACUGCAACCAUUUCUACAUUGGAGGAAGAAUAUUGCUUGCCUAUCCCCAGAUGGUUUACAUAUUUUCUUACCUGGGGUCCAGCACAGUGCUUACAACAUUGCUGACGAUUACUCUGAAAAUGCUCUGCAACAAACAACAGCAAAGCUCCACAUCAUACAAUACUAAUCACUCCUGGGCUGGAGAUUUAGCUCAGUGGUUCCACUGCCUGCCUCGCAAGUGCAAGGUCCUGAGUUCAAUUCCCAGUACCAAAAAAGAACAAGAAUAAAAAAACUAAUCACUCCUAUCCAGAGCAUGGUUCAGUGUUUAACUGUGGAUCAGCAGAUCUAGGCUGAGCUCAGUGGAAGGUUGUUCUUCAUGUUAUAGCUCCAAUUGCCUUGGUGCUUUGCUGGCAUCUGGGCUCAAGUCUGCUCUGGGACCCAGGAUGAAUGGGU
rnacentral:lncRNA from 1 species